AUUCUUUUGUGAUUCGUAAGCAUGAUUGGGUGUUCACACUCGCGGGUGAGAUGUGCCUCCUUCCAACCUUGUUACAACGUUAGCACAUUACCUGUCUGACA